rnacentral:rRNA from 1 species
UGCCACAGUCAAAUCACCCUGCAGCUCAUGACCGGUUACUCACUGAAGCAGGGCUGAGCCUAGUCUACCUGAAUUGGAGACAACAUGGGAAAGCUAGGUUUCUGUUUGAA